CAGUCGCCGCGGUAAUACGAAGGGGGCUAGCGUUGUUCGGAAUUACUGGGCGUAAAGGGCGCGUAGGCGGCCAUUCAAGUUAGAUGUGAAAGCCCUGGGCUCAACCUAGGAAUUGCAUUUGAUACUGUUUGGCUUGAGUUCGGGAGAGGUGAGUGGAAUUCCCAGUGUAGGGGUGAAAUUCGUAGAUAUUGGGAAGAACACCAGUGGCGAAGGCGGCUCACUGGACCGACACUGACGCUGAGGCGCGAAAGCGUGGGGAGCAAACAGGAUUAGAGACCCCCUAGUCCCUGUCUCUUAUACA
rnacentral:rRNA from 1 species